UAGGGAAUCUUCGGCAAUGGACGAAAGUCUGACCGAGCAACGCCGCGUGAGUGAAGAAGGUUUUCGGAUCGUAAAACUCUGUUGUUAGAGAAGAACAAGGACGUUAGUAACUGAACGUCCCCUGACGGUAUCUAACCAGAAAGCCACGGCUAACUACGUGCCAGCAGCCGCGGUAAUACGUAGGUGGCAAGCGUUGUCCGGAUUUAUUGGGCGUAAAGCGAGCGCAGGCGGUUUCUUAAGUCUGAUGUGAAAGCCCCCGGCUCAACCGGGGAGGGUCAUUGGAAACUGGGAGACUUGAGUGCAGAAGAGGAGAGUGGAAUUCCAUGUGUAGUGGUGAAAUGCGUAGAUAUAUGGAGGAACACCAGUGGUGAAGGCGGCUCUCUGGUCUGUAACUGACGCUGAGGCUCGAAAGCGUGGGGAGCAAACAGG
rnacentral:rRNA from 1 species